GUGAAUCAUCGAAUUUUUGAACGCAAAUUGCACUCUCUUCGGAGAGUAUGACUGUUUGAGGGUCAGUAUUAAUAAAAAUCGGUGUGUUGCUUCUUUGUGACGUUACGGUGUUUGGGUCAUCUUUAUAUUCUUUAGGUUUUAAGAGGCUUAAAAUUGACUUUUUUGCGUAUUUUAGAUGUAAAUAAAUUCUUUUUUUUAUUUGUUUGUCUUAAUGCUUAUAAUCCUAUUAGAUGUGACCAUAUCGUGUGGUUUCGUGUAUACAAAUUUUUCAUGAU
rnacentral:misc_RNA from 1 species